GGUGCCAUUACCGCUUUGUACUUUAUCUUGUGGGGAAAGGGUCUUAAAGCCUGUGGACCUCUGAGGGCUGUACUUGCCGAGUAUUCUGGUGCUGUUCUUGGAGUGCUUUCAGCUGUUUUGCAUGGUCGGAGGGGCUUUGUUUGGAAAAAGGUUGUAGGGGGUAACUGGAUGUAUGUGCUAGGCCACCAAUUCUAUUUACGUAUCAUAGGAAGAAUAAGAAAAAACAUGAAACCAAUGAGGGGGAGACAAGUGGCAAAGAAGAUCAUAACCAUGAAACCAAUCCCGAGCAGGCACGUGUUGAAGGGGAAGAAAGCAAGGAGGAUGGGGACCAGAGAGGGGACCCACAGUCCGUUAGUAGUGGGGAUUAAAAGGGGGACAGGAGGCACAGAGAAGGGUACGAAUGUUUUGAAGCAGAAGGCAGGGCAGCCACCUCCUGAGAGGGGAGAGUGCAGCACAGGUUACCGUUUGUUUAUUUUGUGUUUUUUUUGUGUUUUAAGUAGCUGGUUGGUAGCAAGGAAGGAGGGCAGAAAUUCCUUGUUAUUGUGUUUUGUUUUUUCCUUUUCUCUGUGUGUAUUGUUCGCAAGCUUGAGUGUUCCUACAAGCUCAGUGAGACUAUAUUAUUAAGCUUAGUGUUAUUUUGUUAUUUAGUUCUUGGGCUGUAAUCUGAAUUUUGAAAGGAAAUAGAAAAGGAACUGGGAGUGUCUUAACAUUUUUGGUAUCAGAGCAUCAUACCUGGGCAAAACGUAUCCAUGACGAAAGCAGUGGAAGAAAGGUUGGAGACGGUGGAGUUGGAAAUGAAAAGGCUACCGGUGAUAGAGGAGAAUAUAGCCUUGUUAGCCAAAAGCAUCACGGAAAUGAACUCUCAGAUCGACAAACAGGCGCAACAGCAGCAGGUGAUAUUGAAGUACAUUGAAGGAAUCGUUAAAGAAGAUUCUCCCGAACGAAAGAUAGAAGAAGGAUCUACUAGCAAGGUCACCAUGGCAGAGGCGUCACCUCUAGCGAUGGUUGAAGAGCCGAAGCUGGAAACGAAAACAGAGGAAGAGCGAUCAGUAGAUCGGAGUAAGUUUAAGAAGGUGGAGAUGCCAGUAUUCGAUGGAACCGAACCCGACUCAUGGCUUUUCCGAGCAGACCGAUAUUUUAAGAUACACAACCUGACGGAUUCAGAGAAACUCACGGUGGCGGUGAUCAGUUUCGAUGGGCCUGCGUUGGAUUGGUACCGAUCACAAGAAGAGCGGGAAGCUUUUGCCGGCUGGGAUGAUUUAAAACAGAAAAUGCUGGUGAGGUUCCGAGCGACCAGGGAAGGAACGUUGGUGGGCAGGUUCUUAACGAUCAAGCAGGAGACCACAGUCGAGGAAUACCGGAACCGUUUCGACAAGCUACUGGCUCCGGUGGCUUCCCUACCUACGGUGGUGUUAGAAGAAACGUUUAUGAACGGGUUAAGCCCAUGGUUGAAGUCUGAAGUAGAAACCCUGGAGCCCAAUGGGCUGGCCCAGAUGAUGAAGCUGGCUUUGAAGAUAGAAAAUAGGGAAAUGGUCCGAAGGGAAUGUGGGCUGAUCAGUGCCUACGAUAGUAAAACGGGCCAUAAACCCCUGCAAACUAAGAACACCAUAGCGACAGCCACGAAAGAAGGAACGACCAGUGGAAGUUGGCCAAUGAGAACGAUCACCCUAAGAGAGGUAGCUACGGGGGAUAACCGACGGGAAGGGCCCACGAAAAGGUUGUCUGACGCAGAGUUCCAAGCUCGAAGAGAAAAGGGCUUGUGUUUCCGUUGUGGGGAGAAGUACUUUGCAGGGCAUCGAUGCAAAUUGAAAGAACAUAAGGAGCUCCGGAUGCUCGUAGUCAAAGAAGGAGGGGAAGAGUUAGAGAUUGUGGAGGAGGAAUUCUUUGAUGCGGAGGCUGAGAUGAAACAAGUAGACGUGCAAGGCGUGGAGAACUUAAACAUCGAAUUGUCGCUUAACUCCGUGGUGGGAUUGAAUAACCCGGGAACUAUGAAGGUCAAGGGAAAGGUAGGAGGAGAAGAGGUAGUGAUUCUGAUCGACUGUGGGGCGACACACAACUUCAUUGCGGAAGAUUUGGUGACCAGAUUGGGAGUAACAUUGCAGGAGACACCGAACUAUGGAGUGAUCCUGGGGUCGGGAACAGCAGUCAAAGGGAAGGGGGUGUGCCAGGAUGUCGAGGUGCACUUGGAAGGUUGGAAGGUGACAGAUAGCUUCCUACCUCUGCAGCUGGGAGGAGUAGACAUGAUCCUAGGGAUGCAGUGGCUCCACUCUCUGGGAGUGACCGAAGUCGACUGGAAAAGGCUGGUGUUGACAUUCCAUCAUCAGGGGAAGAAGGUGGUGAUACGGGGGGAUCCGAGCCUUACCAAAGCUCGAGUAAGUUUGAAGAAUCUGAUGAAAUCGUGGGGAGCUGAUGAUCAGGGGUUCCUCGUGGAGUGCAGAACCAUAGAGUGUGGGCCGUUGGAAGAGUAUGAACAGGAUAGAGAGCCAGGGGAGAUGAACGCGGAACCAAUAGCAGCCCUGCUCCAGCGGUUUGCUCGCGUGUUUGAAUGGCCCUCAACACUCCCACCCCAGCGUGGCAUUGAUCACCACAUUUACUUGAAGAGUGGAGCUGAUCCAGCCAACGUAAGGCCAUACCGGUACGCGCAUCAUCAAAAGGAAGAAAUGGAAAGACUGGUGGAUGAGAUGUUGACCUCAGGGAUUAUUCGUCCGAGCAAAAGCCCGUACUCCAGCCCGGUUCUGUUAGUGAGAAAGAGAGACGGAAGCUGGCGGUUCUGUGUAGACUAUCGGGCAUUGAACAACGUCACGAUCCCCGACAAGUUCCCUAUACCGGUGAUAGAAGAAUUGUUUGAUGAAUUGAAGGGGGCUAGUGUGUUUUCUAAAAUCGAUCUCAAAGCCGGUUAUCAUCAAAUAAGAAUGUGCCCAGAAGACAUCGAGAAGACCGCGUUCAGAACGCAUGAAGGGCAUUAUGAAUUCCUGGUGAUGCCGUUUGGAUUAACCAAUGCUCCCUCGACUUUUCAAGCCCUGAUGAAUCAAGUGUUUAAGCCGUAUUUGAGAAGGUUUGUGCUGGUAUUCUUCGAUGAUAUUUUAGUGUAUAGCCAAGGGAUGGAAGAGCACCUCCAGCACUUAGAAGUGGUCCUAGGAUUACUCCAAGAAAAGGAGUUAUAUGUGAAUAUGGAGAAAUGCAGCUUUGCAAAACCGCGGAUUAGUUACUUGGGGCAUUUCAUUUCGGAACAAGGUAUCGAAGCAGAUCCAGAAAAGAUACGGGCAGUGAGUGAAUGGCCAACUCCGGCUAAUGUGCGGGAAGUUAGGGGCUUCCUAGGACUGACGGGCUACUACCGGCGUUUUGUUAAGAAUUAUGGAACAAUAGCCGCGCCACUUACCCAGCUGCUUAAGAAAGGUGCGUACAAAUGGGGUGAAGAAGAGGAGGCAGCCUUUGGUAAACUUAAGAGAGCCAUGAUGACUCUUCCGGUACUCACUAUGCCCGACUUCAGCCUGCCUUUCGAAAUUGAAUCCGAUGCUUCAGGGUUCGGAGUGGGGGCUGUGCUGACUCAAUGCCGGAAGCCGGUGGCGUAUUUCAGUAAAACUUUGAGUAUUCGAGACAGAUCAAGGCCAGUGUACGAAAGAGAAUUAAUUGCCGUAGUCCUUGCAGUCCAGAGAUGGCGGCCAUACCUACUGGGAAGGAAGUUCACGGUAAAGACAGACCAAAGAUCGCUGAAGUAUUUGUUGGAACAACGGGUGGUGCAGCCCCAAUACCAGAAGUGGGUAGCAAAACUCUUGGGGUAUUCGUUUGAGGUAGUUUACCAACCCGGGCUGGAAAACAAAGCAGCCGACGCCUUAUCCAGGAUAACUCCAACAGCACAACUGAACCAAAUUACAGCUCCUGCUUUGAUAGAUGUAGAGAUCCUCAAAGAAGAAACCAGGCAAGAUCCAGCGCUGCGAGAAAUCAUCCGGUUGAUCGAAGAACAAGGGAUGGAGAUACCCCAUUACACCCUGCAGCAGGGGGUGCUGAAGUUUAAGGGAAGAUUGGUAGUCUCAAACAAAUCCACCUUGCUUCCCACGAUAUUGCACACCUACCAUGACUCUGUGUUCGGAGGACACUCGGGGUUCUUAAGAACUUAUAAGCGGCUGGCUGGGGAAAUUUAUUGGAAGGGAAUGAAAAGGGAUGUUAUGCGAUACUGUGAAGAGUGUGCCAUCUGCCAACGAAACAAGUCAUCAGCCUUAACCCCAGCAGGGCUACUGAUGCCUUUAGAAAUUCCAGAUGCAAUAUGGAGUGAUAUCUCCAUGGACUUCAUUGAAGGACUACCAAAAUCCAAGGGAUGGGAUGUGAUCCUGGUGGUGGUGGAUAGGUUGAGUAAAUAUAGUCAUUUCCUGUUGCUGAAGCAUCCGUUUACGGCCAAGAUGGUGGCUGAAACCUUUAUAAAGGAAGUGGUCAGACUCCAUGGGUACCCGAGGUCUAUAGUGUCCGACAGGGACAAGGUUUUCCUAAGCCAUUUCUGGAAGGAACUCUUCCGUCUGGCAGGUACUAAGCUGAACAGGAGCUCCUCAUAUCACCCCCAAUCGGAUGGGCAGACCGAGGUGGUAAAUAAAAGUGUCGAGACAUACUUGAGGUGCUUUUGUGGGGAAAAACCACAGGAGUGGAGCCAGUGGUUACAUUGGGCCGAAUACUGGUACAAUACAACCUAUCAUAGUUCGAUUGGAAUUACUCCUUUUCAAGCCGUCUAUGGACGUUUACCUCCUCCCUUGAUUUAUUAUGGAGAUAUGGAGACACCUAAUUCAACGCUAGACCAGCAGCUGAAAGACAGGGAUAUAACGCUGGGGGCCUUGAAGGAACACUUGAAACUAGCACAAGAACGGAUGAAGAAACAAGCUGACAGUAAACGAAGGGAAGUAGAAUUUCAGGAAGGGGACAUGGUGUUUCUCAAAUUGCGUCCUUACAGACAGGCAUCCAUCAGAAAGAAAAGAAAUGAAAAGCUGUCUCCAAAGUAUUUCGGACCGUAUCGAGUCUUAGAAAGGAUCGGGAAGGUGGCAUAUAGACUUGAACUACCCGCUGAGGCUGCUAUCCACCCCGUGUUCCAUGUAUCCCAGUUGAAGAAAGCGGUCGGAAGAGGAGAAACCGUACAAUCAUUGACUCCAUACAUCAAUGAAAACCACGAAUGGAUCACACAACCGGAAGAGGUUUACGGCUAUCGCAAGAAUCCAUCUACUAGGGAAUGGGAAGCCUUGAUCAGUUGGAAAGGACUGCCCCCACACGAGGCGACAUGGGAGAGUUGCACUGACAUGAAAUAUCAAUUUCCGGAAUUCCACCUUGAGGACAAGGUGGAUUUGGAAGAGGAGAGUGAUGCUAGGCCACCAAUUCUAUUUACGUAUCAUAGGAAGAAUAAGAAAAAACAUGAAACCAAUGAGGGGGAGACAAGUGGCAAAGAAGAUCAUAACCAUGAAACCAAUCCCGAGCAGGCACGUGUUGAAGGGGAAGAAAGCAAGGAGGAUGGGGACCAGAGAGGGGACCCACAGUCCGUUAGUAGUGGGGAUUAAAAGGGGGACAGGAGGCACAGAGAAGGGUACGAAUGUUUUGAAGCAGAAGGCAGGGCAGCCACCUCCUGAGAGGGGAGAGUGCAGCACAGGUUGGCGGUCUCAUUGCAAUGUUGGUAUCUUUCUACUUCUUAGCACAAGGGUGGGCCAUGGCCACACAUUUUCCCUUCUAUAUCCUUUGGAAGUUCAAUUGGAACUGUAUGUAUGAAAGCAAGUGGCUGUGAUUAUUUGUUGCAACCUUUGGAUUCUUUUUCUUCUUUUUCGUACAUUAUUGUUAUUAUUAUUUAUUUAUCAUUCCUAUUUCUUUUAGUAUUUCUGCAUUUUCAUUCCUAUAUCAAAAAAAUGUUGUGAACUUUUAACUUGA